rnacentral:rRNA from 1 species
CCUACGGGAGGCAGCAGUGAGGAAUAUUGGUCAAUGGGCGCGAGCCUGAACCAGCCAAGUAGCGUGAAGGAUGACUGCCCUACGGGUUGUAAACCUCUUUUAUAAAGGAAUAAAGUGAGGCACGUGUGCCUGUUUGAAUGUACUUUAUGAAUAAGGAUCGGCUAACUCCGUGCCAGCAGCCGCGGUAAUACGGAGGAUCCGAGCGUUAUCCGGAUUUAUUGGGUUUAAAGGGUGCGUAGAUGGGUUGUUAAGUCAGUUGUGAAAGUUUGCGGCUCAACCGUAAAAUUGCAAUUGAUACUGGCAGUCUUGAGUACAGUUGAGGUAGGCGGAAUUCGUGGUGUAGCGGUGAAAUGCUUAGAUAUCACGAAGAACUCCGAUUGCGAAGGCAGCUUACUAACCUGCCACUGACAUUGAUGCUCGAAAGUGUGGGUAUCAAACAGGAUUAGAUACCCGAGUAGUC